UAACAUGAGGAAACUUAUGCUAAUACCGGAUAAGCCUUACAGGAAAGCUUACGCUCCGAUUGAUGAGUCCACACUUGAUUAGUUAGUUGGUGAGGUAAUAGCUCACCAAGACAAUGAUCAAUAGCUGAUUUGAGAGGAUGAUCAGCCACAUUGGGACUGAGACACGGCCCAAACUCCUACGGGAGGCAGCAGUGGGGAAUCUUGCACAAUGGGGGNAACCCUGAUGCANNGAUGCCGCGUGAGUGAAGAAGGCCUUUGGGUUGUAAAGCUCUUUCGUCGGGGNAGAAAAUGACUGUACCCGAAUAAGAAGGUCCGC
rnacentral:rRNA from 1 species